GGGUUGUGAGGUUAAGCGACUAAGCGUACACGGUGGAUGCCCUGGCAGUCAGAGGCGAUGAAGGACGUGCUAAUCUGCGAUAAGCGUCGGUAAGGUGAUAUGAACCGUUAUAACCGGCGAUUUCCGAAUGGGGAAACCCAGUGUGAUUCGUCACACUAUCAUUAACUGAAUCCAUAGGUUAAUGAGGCGAACCGGGGGAACUGAAACAUCUAAGUACCCCGAGGAAAAGAAAUCAACCGAGAUUCCCCCAGUAGCGGCGAGCGAACGGGGAGCAGCCCAGAGCCUGAAUCAGUGUGUGUGUUAGUGGAAGCGUCUGGAAAGGCGCGCGAUACAGGGUGACAGCCCCGUACACAAAAAUGCACAUGCUGUGAGCUCGAUGAGUAGGGCGGGACACGUGGUAUCCUGUCUGAAUAUGGGGGGACCAUCCUCCAAGGCUAAAUACUCCUGACUGACCGAUAGUGAACCAGUACCGUGAGGGAAAGGCGAAAAGAACCCCGGCGAGGGGAGUGAAAAAGAACCUGAAACCGUGUACGUACAAGCAGUGGGAGCACGCUUCGGCGUGUGACUGCGUACCUUUUGUAUAAUGGGUCAGCGACUUAUAUUCUGUAGCAAGGUUAACCGAAUAGGGGAGCCGAAGGGAAACCGAGUCUUAACUGGGCGUUAAGUUGCAGGGUAUAGACCCGAAACCCGGUGAUCUAGCCAUGGGCAGGUUGAAGGUUGGGUAACACUAACUGGAGGACCGAACCGACUAAUGUUGAAAAAUUAGCGGAUGACUUGUGGCUGGGGGUGAAAGGCCAAUCAAACCGGGAGAUAGCUGGUUCUCCCCGAAAGCUAUUUAGGUAGCGCCUCGUGAAUUCAUCUCCGGGGGUAGAGCACUGUUUCGGCAAGGGGGUCAUCCCGACUUACCAACCCGAUGCAAACUGCGAAUACCGGAGAAUGUUAUCACGGGAGACACACGGCGGGUGCUAACGUCCGUCGUGAAGAGGGAAACAACCCAGACCGCCAGCUAAGGUCCCAAAGUCAUGGUUAAGUGGGAAACGAUGUGGGAAGGCCCAGACAGCCAGGAUGUUGGCUUAGAAGCAGCCAUCAUUUAAAGAAAGCGUAAUAGCUCACUGGUCGAGUCGGCCUGCGCGGAAGAUGUAACGGGGCUAAACCAUGCACCGAAGCUGCGGCAGCGACGCUUAUGCGUUGUUGGGUAGGGGAGCGUUCUGUAAGCCUGUGAAGGUGUGCUGUGAGGCAUGCUGGAGGUAUCAGAAGUGCGAAUGCUGACAUAAGUAACGAUAAAGCGGGUGAAAAGCCCGCUCGCCGGAAGACCAAGGGUUCCUGUCCAACGUUAAUCGGGGCAGGGUGAGUCGACCCCUAAGGCGAGGCCGAAAGGCGUAGUCGAUGGGAAACAGGUUAAUAUUCCUGUACUUGGUGUUACUGCGAAGGGGGGACGGAGAAGGCUAUGUUGGCCGGGCGACGGUUGUCCCGGUUUAAGCGUGUAGGCUGGUUUUCCAGGCAAAUCCGGAAAAUCAAGGCUGAGGCGUGAUGACGAAGCACUACGGUGCUGAAGCAACAAAUGCCCUGCUUCCAGGAAAAGCCUCUAAGCAUCAGGUAACAUCAAAUCGUACCCCAAACCGACACAGGUGGUCAGGUAGAGAAUACCAAGGCGCUUGAGAGAACUCGGGUGAAGGAACUAGGCAAAAUGGUGCCGUAACUUCGGGAGAAGGCACGCUGAUAUGUAGGUGAAGUCCCUUGCGGAUGGAGCUGAAAUCAGUCGAAGAUACCAGCUGGCUGCAACUGUUUAUUAAAAACACAGCACUGUGCAAACACGAAAGUGGACGUAUACGGUGUGACGCCUGCCCGGUGCCGGAAGGUUAAUUGAUGGGGUCAGCGCAAGCGAAGCUCUUGAUCGAAGCCCCGGUAAACGGCGGCCGUAACUAUAACGGUCCUAAGGUAGCGAAAUUCCUUGUCGGGUAAGUUCCGACCUGCACGAAUGGCGUAAUGAUGGCCAGGCUGUCUCCACCCGAGACUCAGUGAAAUUGAACUCGCUGUGAAGAUGCAGUGUACCCGCGGCAAGACGGAAAGACCCCGUGAACCUUUACUAUAGCUUGACACUGAACAUUGAGCCUUGAUGUGUAGGAUAGGUGGGAGGCUUUGAAGUGUGGACGCCAGUCUGCAUGGAGCCGACCUUGAAAUACCACCCUUUAAUGUUUGAUGUUCUAACGUUGACCCGUAAUCCGGGUUGCGGACAGUGUCUGGUGGGUAGUUUGACUGGGGCGGUCUCCUCCUAAAGAGUAACGGAGGAGCACGAAGGUUGGCUAAUCCUGGUCGGACAUCAGGAGGUUAGUGCAAUGGCAUAAGCCAGCUUGACUGCGAGCGUGACGGCGCGAGCAGGUGCGAAAGCAGGUCAUAGUGAUCCGGUGGUUCUGAAUGGAAGGGCCAUCGCUCAACGGAUAAAAGGUACUCCGGGGAUAACAGGCUGAUACCGCCCAAGAGUUCAUAUCGACGGCGGUGUUUGGCACCUCGAUGUCGGCUCAUCACAUCCUGGGGCUGAAGUAGGUCCCAAGGGUAUGGCUGUUCGCCAUUUAAAGUGGUACGCGAGCUGGGUUUAGAACGUCGUGAGACAGUUCGGUCCCUAUCUGCCGUGGGCGCUGGAGAACUGAGGGGGGCUGCUCCUAGUACGAGAGGACCGGAGUGGACGCAUCACUGGUGUUCGGGUUGUCAUGCCAAUGGCACUGCCCGGUAGCUAAAUGCGGAAGAGAUAAGUGCUGAAAGCAUCUAAGCACGAAACUUGCCCCGAGAUGAGUUCUCCCUGACUCCUUGAGAGUCCUGAAGGAACGUUGAAGACGACGACGUUGAUAGGCCGGGUGUGUAAGCGCAGCGAUGCGUUGAGCUAACCGGUACUAAUGAACCGUGAGGCUUAACCUUACAACGCCGAAGGUGUUU
rnacentral:rRNA from 1 species